AGAGUUUGAUCGUGGCUCAGGACGAACGCUGGCGGCGUGCCUAACACAUGCAAGUCGAACGGAACUGUUUUGAAAGAUUUCUUCGGAAUGAAUUUGAUUUAGUUUAGUGGCGGACGGGUGAGUAACGCGUGAGUAACCUGCCUUCAAGAGGGGGAUAACAUUCUGAAAAGAAUGCUAAUACCGCAUGACAUAUCGGAACCACAUGGUUUUGAUAUCAAAGAUUUUAUCGCUUGAAGAUGGACUCGCGUCCGAUUAGUUAGUUGGUGAGGUAACGGCUCACCAAGACCGCGAUCGGUAGCCGGACUGAGAGGUUGAACGGCCACAUUGGGACUGAGACACGGCCCAGACUCCUACGGGAGGCAGCAGUGGGGGAUAUUGCGCAGUGGGGGCAACCCUGACGCAGCAACGCCGCGUGAAGGAUGAAGGUUUUCGGAUUGUAAACUUCUUUUAUUAAGGACGAAAAAUGACGGUACUUAAUGAAUAAGCUCCGGCUAACUACGUGCCAGCAGCCGCGGUAAUACGUAGGGAGCAAGCGUUGUCCGGAUUUACUGGGUGUAAAGGGUGCGUAGGCGGCUUUGCAAGUCAGAUGUGAAAUCUAUGGGCUCAACCCAUAAACUGCAUUUGAAACUGUAGAGCUUGAGUGAAGUAGAGGCAGGCGGAAUUCCCCGUGUAGCGGUGAAAUGCGUAGAGAUGGGGAGGAACACCAGUGGCGAAGGCG
rnacentral:rRNA from 1 species